UACGUAGGGGGCAAGCGUUGUCCGGAAUUAUUGGGCGUAAAGAGCGUGUAGGCGGCCCGAUUAGUCCGCUGUGAAAGUCCAGGGCUCAACCCUGGAAUGCCGGUGGAUACUGUCGGGCUAGAGUCCGGAAGGGGCGAGUGGAAUUCCUGGUGUAGCGGUGAAAUGCGCAGAUAUCAGGAGGAACACCAGUGGCGAAGGCGACUCACUGGACACGUAUUGACGCUGAGGUGCGAAAGCGUGGGGAGCAAACAGG
rnacentral:rRNA from 1 species